rnacentral:tRNA from 1 species
GCGUCCGUAGCUCAGUUGGUUAGAGCACCACCUUGACAUGGUGGGGGUCGGUGGUUCGAGUCCACUCGGACGCACCAUUU